rnacentral:misc_RNA from 1 species
ACACCACUCCAGCCCAGCUGGGUGUUGGGCGUCCGCGGUUUUCGCCGCGCGCCUCAAUGUCUCUCGGCCGCGCCGACCGUCUCCCAGCGUUGUGGCAUCACAUUUUCGCUCCGGAGCUCGGCCGUCGCGUCGCCGUCGACCCAAACCAUUUCAUUAA